ACCAAUUCAUCUCCAAAGCCUGGCUAAACCACACGACUUGUGGCCAUCAGGCUAACUAUGGGAGACCAGAGUUUUGCUGGGGAGGGAGGAGAGAAGGGAGAGAAAUAGAGGAAAAAGAGGGAGGGGAAGAUAGCUUACAACAAGCUGGGGGGGUCUCUGAGAAAGUUCCCAGCUCUAGCCCCAAACUGUAGCUUGGAUCACAGCCACCGAGACAGGGAAGAAGCAGCAAAGUUCCUGCAGGCCGGAAGUCCAGAGAGUGAUAUAGUCCUUGGUACUCACUGAACAAAAAAUCCAAGAAGAACAUCAGGAAAGAGAUAGAAACCAAGAAAUCUUCCGAGAAAAAACCUGUGGUGAAGUUAUCUGCAUCCACCUGUGCAGCCACAGGGGCCUUCUGCCAGCCUCAGACCAUUUCCUGCUGCAACAAGU